UGGGGAAUUUUGGACAAUGGGGGCAACCCUGAUCCAGCCAUGCCGCGUGAGUGAAGAAGGCCUUCGGGUUGUAAAGCUCUUUCGGACGGGACGAAAUGGUUACGGUGAAUAACUGUGACUGAUGACGGUACCGUAAUAAGAAGCACCGGCUAACUACGUGCCAGCAGCCGCGGUAAUACGUAGGGUGCGAGCGUUAAUCGGAAUUACUGGGCGUAAAGCGUGCGCAGGCGGUUCGCCAAGUCAGGUGUGAAAUCCCCGGGCUUAACCUGGGAAUUGCGCUUGAAACUAGCGGGCUUGAGUGUGGCAGAGGGGGGUGGAAUUCCACGUGUAGCAGUGAAAUGCGUAGAGAUGUGGAGGAACACCGAUGGCGAAGGCAGCCCCCUGGGUCAACACUGACGCUCAUGCACGAAAGCGUGGGGAGCAAACAGGAUUAGAUACCCCGGUAGUCCCUGAGCGGGCUGGCAAGGCGCAU
rnacentral:rRNA from 1 species